rnacentral:rRNA from 1 species
AGUGGCGAACGGGUGAGUAAUAUAUCGGAACGUACCCAAGAGUGGGGGAUAACGUAGCGAAAGUUACGCUAAUACCGCAUACGAUCUAUGGAUGAAAGUGGGGGAUCGCAAGACCUCAUGCUCCUGGAGCGGCCGAUAUCUGAUUAGCUAGUUGGUGAGGUAAAGGCUCACCAAGGCGACGAUCAGUAGCUGGUCUGAGAGGACGACCAGCCACACUGGAACUGAGACACGGUCCAGACUCC